rnacentral:rRNA from 1 species
AGCGAACGUUUGCGGCGGGCUUAACACAUGCAAGUCGAACGAGAAUCCCUUCGGGGAGGAAAGUGGCGCACGGGUGCGUAACACGUGGAUAACCAACCCAUUGGUUUGGGACAACACCGGGUAACUGGUGCUAAUACCAGAUGUGUCGCAGCUGUCUUCAGGCGGUUGCGAGAAAGGCCCGCAAGGGUCGCCAACGGACGGGUCCGCGUCCCAUCAGCUAGUUGGUGAGGUAAUGGCUCACCAAGGCAAAGACGGGUAGCUGGUCUGAGAGGAUGAUCAGCCACACUGGAACUGAGACACGGUCCAGACUCCUACGGGAGGCAGCAGUGGGGAAUAUUGCGCAAUGGGCGAAAGCCUGACGCAGCCACGCCGCGUGAGCGAUGAAGGUCUUCGGAUCGUAAAGCUCUGUGGGGGGAGAAGAAGAAAGCCGGUGAAGAGCCGGCCCUGACGGUAUCCCCUUAGCAAGCACCGGCUAACUCCGUGCCAGCAGCCGCGGUAA